rnacentral:rRNA from 1 species
UACAGAGGUCUCAAGCGUUGUUCGGAUUCAUUGGGCGUAAAGGGUGUGUAGGUGGCGCCGUAAGUCGGGUGUGAAAUUUCGGAGCUUAACUCCGAAACUGCAUUCGAUACUGCCGUGCUUUGAGGACUGGAGAGGAGACUGGAAUUUACGGUGUAGCGGUGAAAUGCGUAGAUAUCGUAAGGAAGACCAGUGGCGAAGGCGGGUCUCUGGGCCGAUAUUGACGCUGAGGAGCGAAAGCGUGGGGAGCGAACAGG